CCCUUAGAUGUUCUGGGCUGCACACGUGCUACACUGGUAGGUUCAGCGAGCUUCAUGCCCUGAUCUGAAAGGAAUGGGAAAUCUUUUCAAAACCUGCCGUGCUUGGGAUAGAUGUUUGCAAUUAUUCAUCUUCAACGAGGAUUGCCUUGUAAGCGCACGUCGUCAGCGUGCAUUGAAUACGACCCUGUAUUCUGUACACACCGCCCGUCGCUCCUACCGAUUGAAGUUUUCGGUGAGUUGACAGGAGGAUUUUUUUGAAACUGGUUCGCCAGUGGAUUUUAGAUCCAAAUGCCAACGAAUCGAUGGCUUUAGAGGAAGGAGAAGUCGUAACA
rnacentral:rRNA from 1 species